ensembl:snoRNA LOC120099027 small nucleolar RNA SNORA17
CCUUCUCCUAGAGGCAUUGUAGGUGUGACAGAGAAGAGAGAUGCUCUGUCUAUUCUCUGUCUUCUGACCUGUGAACAUUGGAAUGAUUAGUAGACUAAUACU